rnacentral:rRNA from 1 species
CACGUAGGGGACGAGCGUUGUCCGGAUUCAUUGGGCGUAAAGGGUGCGUAGGCGGCGCGGUAAGUCGGGUGUGAAAUCUCGGAGCUUAACUCCGAAACUGCAUUCGAUACUGCCGUGCUUGAGGACUGGAGAGGAGACUGGAAUUUACGGUGUAGCGGUGAAAUGCGUAGAUAUCGUAAGGAAGACCAGUGGCGAAGGCGGGUCUCUGGACAGUUCCUGACGCUGAGGCACGAAGGCCAGGGGAGCAAACGGG